CCAUAAUGAUGUCCUGAAUACUAUACGGAAUGUGAAACAACAUUACUUACAUUAAUUUGAAUGGAGCUGACUUUUAAAAACCUGGUUGUUUAUGUUCAGGUUGUUACUGUUGAGCAAGAGUUGUGAUUUGGAAGGUAUGAUGUGAUUCUCUAUCAUCUCUGGUUUCCUUUGGCUUGUCCACUUAGAUCCAUGGUCAUUAGUAUUUUCUUCCUCAAAAUUUAACUGCUGGCACUUCCAGAUAUUCCAAGCUUAUGAUGUUUUCUUUGUUUGUUUUUGUGUCAAUAUUUGAAUAUUUGCCUUGAAAUAUGAAAGAUUAUAGUUUCAUUUAUGAGUAUGAUGCAUGAUUAUCACUUAUAAAGUUUCAUACUUGUACCGAUAUCUUACUUAACUUAAAUCUCAGUUCGGUUUCAAGAAUACUUUGUUGAAUUCUCAUUGGUUUCAUGGUUUCUACAAAAUAAAACAUCCACUUUACUUCUGAACUUCUAAUCGGUAUCAUGGUUUUUAGGAAACGAAAUACAUCCACUUUUUCAAUCACUCAAGAUGGAUAUGUAUGCAGUUUCCCUGAAAGUUAAGUCUGAAGUAGUCAACAUUACGUAUUCAUAGAUGAACUUGUCUAGUGGACUUGAACUUUGAUUAGUGAAAAGAUAUUUUUUAACUUUGUAAGUUUUAUUCACACAUUUUUGUGACUUAGAAAGCAUACCAUACAACUUCUUUUUGAAAAUGACCGAGGCUCUGAUCAUGUAUGGAUCCAAGUGCACCACCUUCCACUCAAUUUUGGAGAAAUAUGAUAGUCCCUAUCAUUGUUUUUUCCUUUUCCUUUAUUAUAGCUUGCUCAUUUCGCAUUUUUGUAUAAACAUUGUGUGCUAUUUUUUUCCUUCACUUCAGCCUUUUGCUACCAUGAAUGUGAAAUAUACUUUUGCUACCAUAGUUUAGGGCAUAAGUCGAUGCUAUUUAAAUGUACACACAGUAAGUUUGAACUUAAAAGCCGAGGUUGUCAAGUCUGAAAUCAACCAUCAGCAUUUUACAUUUUGACCUUGUAAAGUUUUAUUUUAACUGCAAAUGGACAUGCAUUUGUUUUCUUAGGAUAAUUUGGUAUGUACUAUAUUGUAUUGUUUCUUUUUCUCCUCUCUCAAUUAUUUAACUUUAGGGUGUGUUACCACAUGAUCAUGGUGUAGAUUUAUCCUUUUCCCUUGUUUGAUUUACUCAUGUUUCAUUUAGCUGUGUUAGUGAUCAUAUCUAGGAGAUUGAUUUAUUAUAUUUUUAUUUCCAUUUAGCAUGUAGGGGUCUAAGAUAGAGGAUGCUAGGAAAUAUGAUCAGUUCUCGUCUUUCAGGUCCCUCAUGCUUCUAUUUUGCCAGCGACGCAAUCAUCUUCUUCAAGCCAGACAACAAAGACCAAGAGGUGAUUCUUCGCAUCCUGGACAUUUUCAUUUGC
rnacentral:lncRNA from 1 species